rnacentral:rRNA from 1 species
GUACGGGAGGCAGCAGUGGGGAAUAUUGGGCAAUGGGCGCAAGCCUGACCCAGCCAUGCCGCGUGAGUGAUGAAGGCCUUCGGGUCGUAAAGCUCUGUGGGGAGGGAAGAAACCGGACGUGGAUAAUACCCACGGCUCUUGACGGUACCUCCUUAGCAAGCACCGGCUAACUCCGUGCCAGCAGCCGCGGUAAUACGGAGGGUGCAAACGUUGCUCGGAAUCAUUGGGCGUAAAGCGCACGUAGGCGGCCUGUUAAGUCGGGUGUGAAAGCCCUGGGCUCAACCCAGGAAGUGCACUCGAAACUGGCGGGCUUGAAUAUGGAAGAGGGUCGCGGAAUUCCCGGUGUAGAGGUGAAAUUCGUAGAUAUCGGGAGGAACACCAGUGGCGAAGGCGGCGACCUGGGCCAAUAUUGACGCUGAGGUGCGAAAGCGUGGGGAGCAAACAGGAUUAGAUACCCCGGU